GGAGUUGUAGCUCAGAGGUAGAGCAUUUGCCUCAUACGUGUGAGGCACUGGGUUUGAUUCCCAGCACCA
rfam:Ictidomys tridecemlineatus contig097034, whole genome shotgun sequence.